rnacentral:ncRNA from 2 species
AAUCCAUAGAGAGAGAUUGAAGGACAGGCCUUGUGAUAUCUCAGCAACCUACCUUAUGGUGUGGUGCUAAUUCCUGAUAGAUGGUAA